rnacentral:rRNA from 1 species
GAUGAACGCUGGCAGAAUGCUUAACACAUGCAAGUCGACUUGAACUUCGGUUUGGGUGGCGGACUGGUGAGUAACGCGUAAAGAACUUGCCUCACAGCUAGGGACAACAUUUGGAAACGAAUGCUAAUACCUGAUAUUAUGCUUUUAGGGCAUCCUCGGAUUAUGAAAGCUAUAUGCGCAGUGAGAGAGCUUUGCGUCCCAUUAGCUAGUUGGAGAGGUAACGGAUCACCAAGGCGAUGAUGGGUAGCCGGCCUGAGAGGGUGAUCGGCCACAAGGGGACGGGGGAAGGGGCAGUGCGCAAACGUGGGGAAGGGGUGGAGAAUAGUGGAAAACGGACCAAGUGUGUGAUGAAGGAAUUCUGUGUGUAAGGUGAAGUUUUUCGGAAUGAAAAGUAGUUGCAGUUGGGAAGGAAAAAAUGACGGUACCAACAGAAGAAGCGACGGCUAAAUACGUG